CCCUGGUUAGCUCAGUUAGUAGAGCGCUCCACUGGAAAUGGAGAGGUCCCGGGUUCGAUACCCGGACCAGGCA
rnacentral:tRNA from 1 species